rnacentral:rRNA from 1 species
GACGAACGCUGGCGGCGUGCUUAACACAUGCAAGUCGAACGGAAAGGCCCUGCUUUUGUGGGGUGCUCGAGUGGCGAUCGGGUGAGUAACACGUCAGUAACCUGCCCUUGACUUUGGGAUAACUUCAGUUAACUGGGGCUUAUAUCGCAUAGGAGCUCCUGCUGCACGGCGGGGUUUGGAUAGUUUUGGCGGUUGGGUAUGGACUCGCGGCUUAUCAGCUUGUUGGUGGGGUAGUGGCUUACCAAGGUUUUGACGGGUAGCCGGCCUGAGAGGGUGACCGGCCACAUUAGGACUGAGAUAAGGCCCAGAAUCCAACGGGAGACAGCAGUGGGGAAUGUUACACAAUGGGCGGAAGACUGAUACAGCAACUCCGCGUGCGGGAUGACGGCCUUCGGGUUGUAAGCCGCCUGCGCCUGAGACGAAGCGUGAGUGACGGUAAGGGGUAAAGAAGCACCGGCUAACUACGUG